UACGUAGGGGGCAAGCGUUGUCCGGAAUCAUUGGGCGUAAAGCGCGUGUAGGCGGCUCGAUAAGUCUGCUGUGAAAGUCCAGGGCUCAACCCUGGGAUGCGGGUGGAUACUGCCGGGCUCGAGUCCGGAAGAGGCGAGUGGAAUUCCCGGUGUAGCGGUGAAAUGCGCAGAUAUCGGGAGGAACACCAAUGGCGAAGGCAGCUCGCUGGGACGUGACUGACGCUGAGACGCGAAAGCGUGGGGAGCAAACAGG
rnacentral:rRNA from 1 species